GUCUCUUUAAUAUUAUUUUAAACUGAUAUCUGGUGAGUACUUACACUUUUCAUGUAAUGCUUACAAUAAUUAAAGUGAAAAAUGCAAAGGGCAAUAACUCCAAAAGUAUGCAAAAGAGUUAUGGUUCUUAAACACAGCACAUGACUCACAAAGAUCUAUGUCUGUGAAGUUUCAAAUUAAUAUCUCCAAUACUUUUUAAGCUUAAUGAUCAGAACAAAAAUUAAGCAUGGAGAAGUACAAAAUGGCAAUAAACCCCAAAUCAUGCAAUAAAGAGUUAUGGUUCCUAGGCCUUGUACUUCUCAUCAAUGAGAUUUAGUUAUAUGUAGAGUUAAAAAUUAUUGUAUCAAACAUUUUUUGUACUAUGCUGUGCAGAUUAAAACUUACAAAGGGCAAUAACUCCAUAACUUUGCAGGACAGAGUUAUGUAUUUUAAAGAAGAAAAAAAACAUGAAUCAAACUUGUUAAAAAUAAUAUUUAAAUGCUAUUUAAUAAAUAUACAUAAAAAAUAGAUCAGCCUUCAAGAUAAUGAAGCACUGUGCUUGCUUAUUAUACAUACACAAUAUAGUAUGCCUUUCAGAGGCUUUAAAUCUAUUGUAAAAAUAAUUGUGUGAAAAGUAAAUAGCUAAUAAUUCCUGAUAAUUUCUUAUAAUCAGGAUAAGUAAAUACUAGCUAGUAAAUACUGCAUCCUCUAAGAUUUAACAACAAGGCAUACAACACAGAUCUGAUAAAACUACUGCCCUCUUAUCUAGUAAUCUCUGCAUGGGGGUUAAUAGUUUACUCAAGCUGACCAGACUGUUCCAUUUGAUUAUUUUGGGAGAGGCAACAUUAUACAUGUUAUAUGUAGAAUCUGUGUUAAAAUAGCAUGCUAAAUUAUCUUUCAAAAACUUAUUUCUACUCAAUCUAUUUAGGUAUUAGACAUAGUUUAUACAUUCAAAUGAAUGUAAAAAUAAAAUGAUGGGUGCUAUGGUUUUUGAAUAAUCCCUCACAGUUUAAAAUUAUAAUGGAACUUUCCAGUUGUACGGUUGUAAAGUUUGAAUUCAAAGGAAUUGAGGUCAGUUAAAGCUUGCAAAAACAAAGGAAAUGAUUGGUAUUGUAGCAAUUCUGGAGAUAUUAUUUUGUUUAAAAUGUAAGGGUGCAUAUUUUUGAUUUCUCAAAGAAUACAUUAAAAGUCUUAUUAGUGUGGCAAAUAGAAAUGAGAAGUUUUAACUGAAGAUUAUAGAUUAUAAAAUUAGACAAGGAGAUAAACAGCAGAAUCAUUCCAAGUCAAAGUUUCAGGUAAGCAACUUUUACAUAUAACAUUUAUUAUUAUUUUUGCAGAAACUAUUAAGUUUUUUAACAGUAAAAAUAUGAAGUGGUAUUGUAUAAAAUUAUGUUUUAAAUUUGUUAUGUUUGUAACUUGACUAAAAAAAGAAAGCUGAAUUUACAUAUAAAGAAUGUAGGAAUGUAAAGAAUGUAGGAAGAGCUUCAUCAUUUCAUAAAUACAGUAUGUUUGAGAAAAUAAUUAUAGAAAUUAAUCAGUAAGUACAAUAUCAUUAAUAUGUACAAUAUUACAUCAAUCAAACUAUAGAUAACCAGGUACCUAUUACUACAACUUUCAUGCUAUAAACAUAUUUCCUUGUGUGUCACAUGUGAAGCAGAUCAACAGUAACUGUUUUAAUAGUAAGCUUCAUUCCUUCAUUGUUGUAAUUCAGCUUUCAUGGUGCAGUAGAUAUAUAACCAUAACUAGACAGUCUAGAGUAACAAGCUGUUAGGAGAAUGACAGUUCAUAACAGAAACAGCAUUAAAUAAGAAUUAUUCUUUUGCAGACACAAAGCAAUGAGGAGCAGCCUGGAGCAACACACUUGUUCUUCAGUGGCUUUACAAAGGACCAAGUGAUGGCAGAACUGAGGCACUUAUAAUGCCUCACAUGAGAAAGGUACAACAAGGCUCUUCAGAAUGCUAUUCAAUAUAGAGGAGAUUAAAGGCGGCUCAUUGUUUGGUAUGAGAAAAUGGAACAGAGAGUCUGACGCCAGACCUGCUUGUGCAGACAAGGCAAAACUUAAGUUCUUGAAAGAUUGUGCGCUGGAAAAGUGGCUGACAACCCAAAGGACUGAAAUCCAUAGGGUGAUUCUGCACCUCCUCAAACUGUCCAGGAAUAGAAAGAUAAACUGAAGAUAAUAAAUGGACUAAUGUGUUGCUAUUUUUUGAGACAAUUAUUUCAUAUGGAGA